UUAAAUACCCACGCGUACCUUUCCUUCCAAAUCAUCCAUAGAACACCGGCAAGUAUUGCUGUAGAGGAUGGUUCAGCUUGGGAAGUCACAAAGGAGGAGGAGAUGCUCCGGAGAUUCUGGGAAUUUGCGGUGCACACCGGUCAGAGCGGGUUAGAUACCAAUCCUCUUUUAUAAAGGUUUUCCUUAAUAGGAAGUGCAUUGUUGCAUACGCACUACAGGAAAAAUCGAACUUUUGGGUACGAGGGAGAUUGUCAAAUUGUGGUCCAUAAAGAUCUACGGGGUUGAUACGACGAAGACGCCUGGUUGGCGUUGAAUGUCUUGUCCUGGGAGCAUAGUUUGUUGUAGCCACUUUUUACCAAAUAAGAUCCUACACUAUUUCCAGUCCAAA